rnacentral:rRNA from 2 species
CAACAGGGAUACCUCAGUAACGGCGAGUGAAGCGGUAACAGCUCAAAUUUGAAAUCUGGCUCUUUCAGGGUCCGAGUUGUAAUUUGUAGAAGAUGCUUUGGGCAUUGCUCCGGUCUAAGUUCCUUGGAACAGGACGUCAUAGAGGGUGAGAAUCCCGUAUGUGACUGGUGGCAUUUGUCCGUGUAAAGCUCUUUCGACGAGUCGAGUUGUUUGGGAAUGCAGCUCAAAAUGGGUGGUAUAUUUCAUCUAAAGCUAAAUAUUGGCCAGAGACCGAUAGCGCACAAGUAGAGUGAUCGAAAGAUGAAAAGCACUUUGGAAAGAGAGUUAAACAGUACGUGAAAUUGUUGAAAGGGAAGCGCUUGCAACCAGACUUGCAGGUCGUUGAUCAUCCGGGGUUCUCCCCGGUGCACUCGGCGGCUUUCAGGCCAGCAUCGGUUUGAGUGGUGGGAUAAAGGCCUUGGGAAUGUGGCUCCUUUCGGGGAGUGUUAUAGCCCAAGGUGCAAUGCCGCCUAUUCGGACCGAGGACCGCGCUUCGGCUAGGAUGCUGGCGUAAUGGUUGUAAGCGACCCGUCUUGAAACACGGACCAAGGAGUCUAACAUCUAUGCGAGUGUUUGGGUGUCAAACCCAUACGCGUAAUUAACGUGAACGGAGGUAAGAACCCUUAAGGGUGCAUUAUCGACCGAUCCUGAUGUCUUCGGAUGGAUUUGAGUAAGAGCAUAGCUGUUGGGACCCGAAAGAUGGUGAACUAUGCCUGAAUAGGGUGAAGCCAGAGGAAACUCUGGUGGAGGCUCGCAGCGGUUCUGACGUGCAAAUCGAUCGUCAAAUUUGGGUAUAGGGGCGAAAGACUAAUCGAACCAUCUAGUAGCUGGUUCCUGCCGAAGUUCCCC